GCUGCCCCCGAGGAGAGGAGUCGGCCCCCAGCCUGCCCUGCAGACACUUCGGAGCUGCUCCGCACCGCGCUGCGCCCGGCCCCAGGAAGAUCCUGCACGUUUAAACGCCCCUCUGGCAUAACUCAGCUCACUCCAGAUGGACCAGGGACAUCACCAAUGCUGGAAAGUGGACAGGCCAAUCUUCUAUAAGACCUCAACUGUCACAUGCUUGAAGAUAUUAUGGAGCACAAAGAGUGCUGAGAAACACAACUGCACA